rnacentral:rRNA from 1 species
GACGAACGCUGGCGGCGUGCCUAAUACAUGCAAGUAGAACGCUGAAGGAGGAGCUUGCUUCUCCGGAUGAGUUGCGAACGGGUGAGUAACGCGUAGGUAACCUGCCUGGUAGCGGGGGAUAACUAUUGGAAACGAUAGCUAAUACCGCAUAACAGUAGAUGUUGCAUGACAUUUGCUUGAAAGGUGCAAUUGCAUCACUACCAGAUGGACCUGCGUUGUAUUAGCUAGUUGGUGAGGUAACGGCUCACCAAGGCGACGAUACAUAGCCGACCUGAGAGGGUGAUCGGCCACACUGGGACUGAGACACGGCCCAGACUCCUACGGGAGGCAGCAGUAGGGAAUCUUCGGCAAUGGACGGAAGUCUGACCGAGCAACGCCGCGUGAGUGAAGAAGGUUUUCGGAUCGUAAAGCUCUGUUGUAAGAGAAGAACGAGUGUGAGAGUGGAAAGUUCACACUGUGACGGUAUCUUACCAGAAAGGGACGGCUAACUACGUG